GACAGAGGUGGCAAGCGUUGCUCGGAUUCACUGGGCUUAAAGGGCGCGUAGGUGGUCUUGUAAGUCAAAGGUGGAAUUCCACAGCUCAACUGUGGAACUGCCUUUGAUACUGCAAGGCUUGAGUCAGGUAGAGGAGGGCGGAAUUCCCGGUGUAGCGGUGAAAUGCGUAGAUAUCGGGAGGAAGGCCGGUGGCGAAGGCGGCCCUCUGGGCCUGUACUGACACUGAGGCGCGAAAGCGUGGGGAGCAAACAGG
rnacentral:rRNA from 1 species